rnacentral:rRNA from 1 species
CCUACGGGAGGCAGCAGUGGGGAAUAUUGCGCAAUGGGCGAAAGCCUGACGCAGCGACGCCGCGUGAGGGAUGAAGGUCUUCGGAUCGUAAACCCCUGUCAGCAGGGAAGAACGGUCACUGUGCUAAUCAGCAGUGAAUUGACGGUACCUGCAAAGGAAGCACCGGCUAACUCCGUGCCAGCAGCCGCGGUAAUACGGAGGGUGCGAGCGUUAAUCGGAAUUACGGGGCGUAAAGCGCUCGUAGGCGGUAUGUCAAGUCAAGGGUGAAAUCUCCGCGCUCAACGUGGGAACUGCCUUUGAAACUGGCAGACUGGAGUGUGGGAGAGGUAAGUGGAAUUCGAGGUGUAGGGGUGAAAUCCGUAGAUAUCAGGAGGAACAUCCGUGGCGAAGGCGACUUUCUGGCACAUAACUGACGCUGAGGAGCGAAAGCGUGGGUAGCAAACAGGAUUAGAUACCCUAGUAGUC